rnacentral:rRNA from 1 species
GCAGGCUGAAAUUACGCCUGUAUGAAGCCGGAAUUGCUAGUAAUGGCAGGUCAGCAUACUGCCGUGAAUACGUUCCCGGGCCUUGUACACACCGCCCGUCACACCAUGAGAGUUGGGGAUACCCAAAGCCCGUGAGCCAACUUAUAGAGGCAGCGGUCUAAGGUAGAAUCAAUGAUUGGGGUGAAGUCGUAACAAGGUAUC